AACGAACGCUGGCGGCAUGCCCAACACAUGCAAGUCUAACGCGACACAAGGGCCCCGUGGCGCACGGGUGCGCAACGCACGGGACCCAGCCCUAAGGCUCGGCACAACUCCCCGCAAGUGGCGCUAAUACCGCCUAACAUCAUCGGACCCAAGCGCUCUCACCCUAGGCUGGGGCCGCGUUCGACUAGCCAGUUGGUAGGGUAAAAGCCUACCCAGGCGACGAUCCAUAGCUGGUCUGAGAGGAUGAUCAGCCACACUGGGACUCAGAUACGGCCCAGACCCAUACGGGAGGCAGCAGUAGGGAAUAUUGGACAAUGGGCCCAAGGCUGAUACAGGGUUGCCGCGUGAGUGAGCAAUGCCUUAGGGGUGGAGUGCUCUUUUACCCGCGAUGAUAGUGACAGUACCGGGAAAAGAAGCCCCGGCUAGCGCCAUG
rnacentral:rRNA from 1 species